rnacentral:tRNA from 1 species
GAGGUUGUGGCUCAGCGGUAGAGCGCUCGCCUAGCACGUGCGGGGGCCUUAUUUAUAUGUGGUGCUGGGUUCGAUCCUCAGCACCACA